AAGUCGUAACAAGGUUUCCGUAGGUGAACCUGCGGAAGGAUCAUUAACACGUAUCCAACGUUAAACCCCCCGUGCACCUUCACAGAGCGCGCUGCUCCUCUCGACGUCAGCAAUCCUGGUAAAUCAGUGGCGAAAGUAGUCUUUGAUUCAGGACCUCUGAAGUUGUAAGCAGGCAGUUUGAGCCUUCUAUCGCCAGUCUGGAGUCCUGGCCGGGCGGAUGAAAGUGUCGCUAGACGGUUUCUAGGGUAAGGCUUCUCCAUCGCCGGUAGUGCCCCUUUACCACGACCAAGUUAAAUUAGGCCUCUACCACAUAGCAAGUGCGCCGUGGUAGAGGAAAACGUACAACUGUUAACAAUGGAUAUCUUGGUUCUC
rnacentral:misc_RNA from 1 species